AACAAAAUGGUGCAAAACUGUAAAAAAAAAAAAAAAAAAAAAAGAAAAUGAAAAUUGUUAGAAGUGUGUGGUGUGUAUUUGCAUGUUGCAUGUACUGUCAAAAAGCUCAAUUACACUUUCAGUCAUUGCAACUUCUUUCUAUAUCAUAAAAAGCCAGAUUUAUGGAAUACACAAUAAUUGUUUUGCUGUCUACAGGCCUUUCCACCUGACUCAAUAUGAGUGUAGAUCAUCCAGAGUCACCAAGAGAGUCCUGGUGAUUGCUCUGAUUUAGGUUGACGGCCAUGAUUUUGUCGGUUUUUGAUUUGGCCAUUUCCAGAUGAUCAGUUGAAGGAGUGAUCUAUGAGAUUUUUAUAAUCUGGCUUAUCGUCUGUGUUUCUUGGUCUUCGUCAUGCUGUUUGUUCUCUAAUGUUGCAUCAGACCUCAGUCUCCAUUCACAGAACUGAGCUGGAUUUAUGGAGUUCGGUGGAUUUUGUUGGUUGCACCGGGGUUUUCAGGGGUAUAAAGGUGUGACAAAACAAAUGCACACCACACCUCUAUUUAUUUUUGGAUAUUUAGUUAAAGAUUUUAUGAGCAAUCAAUACAAGCGACUCACAAAAUCAGUCCUGUACUGUAGUAACGUUAUUUCACAAAGAGCAAUGCAGAAAAAUGCAACCAUUAAUUUGAGUAUUCAAAAGGAAAACAGAGGUUAUAAAAUGCUUAGCAACAUAUUAGGUGUUUUCAUCUGCCUCCAGUAAAAAUAAGCAAAUAUACUUUCAUUCUCAUCACUAUUCUCUCAAGAAAUAAACUGAAAUACUGCAACUA